CACACAAUUUUACAAUAUCAAUACAUUAGAUACAAAUAAAUAAAAUGAAAGCACAUAGGAGCAUUUGAUUUUAUUUAGCUGACAGAAGCCGCGAUCCAGUCGGUGUAGGAGCUGACAGCAGUGCUGACUCCGGGGAAGGUCGCGUUAGCGCAGCCAUGACCCCAAGACACGACACCGACCACUAUGUCACCGUAGUAGAGAGGACCACCAGAGUCACCCUGGCAGGCGUCCUUGCCACCGACGUCAAGAA